CAAAGUUACUAUACAAAUCAUUUUAUUGUAGGCGAGAGCGAAAACUUGGAGCAAAAUGGUGCUCCUGGUAUUUGCUAUUCUUUCCUCAGCAACUUUGAUUGCUGCUGCACCUUUGGAAGCUGCAAAUGGAGCUGCUGGUGCACCUCAACCCCUAACCGGCCCAACCCUUGAAGAACGGCAAAAUGGCCUGAGGAGAGAACUUGGUUUUCGAGAAAUAAAAAAUAUCGUCCCUGAAAUGCCUCCUGUAAAAGUAGUGAAUCCACCUGAUAAUAAAAACAAACCCGACAAACUCGUCAAACGGGAGGCCAUUAUUAUAUCUGACUCUACUAUAUAAAGAGUCAAGUGUUUUAACUGAGGGCAAAUUGGCAGUGGAGGAAUUCAAUCUGAAUGAAAAUGGCAACAAUGAUGUGAUUGAAGAAGUGGUUGUUAACUCUGAGGGAAAUAUUGCAGACGCAGAUUCAUCCUCAUCGUCUUCUUCGUCUACGUCGUUUUCGCAUUCCUCCUCCAAAAAACAAUCCAAGGAAGAAUCUCCCGUCCAAGAACCAGAACAGUCUGACCAGGUGGAUCAGUUGAAGAAAUAUUAUUACGACCCUUACGACCCAGCAACCAACUUUUACGGCGACAAUUACGCGUACGUCACCCAACCUCAAAAUUCCGCCAGUGGUUUGGAGAUUACUGUGAUCAAUGUCAAUGCCAAGGACCAGGACACCGCCAAGUUUUUGAUCAAGGAAUUGAACCAUCUUGUGAACAUUUUGCCCUUUUUCCUGAGGCAGAAGCAAGUCAUUCCCGCCGAAGAGCAGAAGAAGCUGCAAAAUAAACCUGUUGAUUCCGAACAAAACACCGGCCAAUAAUCGAAUUUAUGAAUAUUUUAUGAGCAACCAAUUUACGAGCCGUAAUUUGGACUUCACAAAACUAUGCUGUCGUAAUUUUUCCUGAAUAAUAGAUGUGAUUAUAAUCAGAUUAAAUUUUAAUCCAAAAUCAAAUUACAGCAUUUUCA